rnacentral:lncRNA from 1 species
CCCACCCCUGCUUCACCAGCUGAAUGAAGUCCAAAAACUUGAUGCUUCAAACAUUUCACAGAGAUGGAAAAAAUACGAGAGCCAAAAAGAUUGUUAAAAAGAAUCCACAGUGAGGAAGACGGGAAUGCUAUCUGUGGUUCUCAUAUGAGGAAGAGCAAGAACAGAUGCAUUUUUUCCGCACACUCGGAACCUCAACUUGCAAGAAGUAGUGAAGGUUUGUGUAGAACUGGGGAUGACAACUGAACGCAAGUAGUCACCAGCAAAACACAGAAAACAUGACUGUUG